rnacentral:rRNA from 1 species
CAUUGCUUACGGGAGGCAGCAAUGGGGAAUAUUGCACAAUGGGGGGAACCCUGAUGCAGCAACGCCGCGUGAAGGAAGAAGUAAUUCGUUAUGUAAACUUCUAUCGACAGGGAAGAAAGAAAUGACGGUACCUGAAUAAGAAGCCCCGGCUAAUUACGUGCCAGCAGCCGCGGUAAUACGUAAGGGGCAAGCGUUAUCCGGAUUUACUGGGUGUAAAGGGAGCGUAGACGGCGCGGCAAGUCUGAAGUGAAAGGCAGGGGCUUAACCCCUGAACUGCUUUGGAAACUGCCAUGCUAGAGUGCUGG